GGAAAAACUAUCCCCAAAUAUAGCUUCAGUAAUGAUUUUAAUUAUCAAUAUUUUGAUAUUGUUUGCUCUGACUUAAUAUGACUCUUUUUUGAUAAAACAAUCUUUACCCCUCUGCAUACUUUUCCUCCUUUGGUUUUCAAUGCCUUGAAAAUAAUUGCAACUGAUUGACUCUUUUCUAGGCAAAGUAUAGUCUACUAUCAAAUAUGCUGGUUGGAUGAGGUUCAAGGACAUUUGAGUUUCCUGCCAUCCCACAAUGGUGUCCUCAGUAUAAUCAAGAUGCUGGAUGAAUCUAGGUUUUGAAGAAAGAAGGCAAGC
rnacentral:lncRNA from 1 species